rnacentral:rRNA from 1 species
UGUUUGAUGUUCUAACGUGGACCCGUGAUCCGGGUUGCGGACAGUGUCUGGUGGGUAGUUUGACUGGGGCGGUCUCCUCCUAAAGAGUAACGGAGGAGCACGAAGGUUGGCUAAUCCUGGUCGGACAUCAGGAGGUUAGUGCAAUGGCAUAAGCCAGCUUGACUGCGAGCGUGACGGCGCGAGCAGGUGCGAAAGCAGGUCAUAGUGAUCCGGUGGUUCUGAAUGGAAGGGCCAUCGCUCAACGGAUAAAAGGUACUCCGGGGAUAACAGGCUGAUACCGCCCAAGAGUUCAUAUCGACGGCGGUGUUUGGCACCUCGAUGUCGGCUCAUCACAUCCUGGGGCUGAAGUAGGUCCCAAGGGUAUGGCUGUUCGCCAUUUAAAGUGGUACGCGAGCUGGGUUUAGAACGUCGUGAGACAGUUCGGUCCCUAUCUGCCGUGGGCGCUGGAGAACUGAGGGGGGCUGCUCCUAGUACGAGAGGACCGGAGUGGACGCAUCACUGGUGUUCGGGUUGUCAUGCCAAUGGCACUGCCCGGUAGCUAAAUGCGGAAGAGAUAAGUGCUGAAAGCAUCUAAGCACGAAAC